UACGUAGGGGCAAGCGUUGUCCGGAAUUAUUGGGCGUAAAGCGCGCGCAGGCGGUCCUUUAAGUCUGAUGUGAAAGCCCACGGCUUAACCGUGGAGGGUCAUUGGAAACUGGUCGACUUGAGUGCAGAAGAGGGAAGUGGAAUUCCAUGUGUAGCGGUGAAAUGCGUAGAGAUAUGGAGGAACACCAGUGGCGAAGGCGGCUUCCUGGUCUGUAACUGACACUGAGGCGCGAAAGCGUGGGGAGCAAACAGGAUUAGAUACCCCGGUAGUCCCU
rnacentral:rRNA from 1 species